GAUAAAUGAAACCACUAGAUGGCUAGAACGAAUUAAUAAUUUAUAUAUUUAAUAUUUUUGCCUGCGUAAAAGGUAAAAGCAUUAUUUGAAAGCAUAUCCAAGGUUGAUACAAAUUUAAUUACACGUGUAUGUAGACCGUGUAUAUAACAUAAAAAUAAAUAAGGAAAGUUGCCGUCAGUACAGUUUACAGUGAAAAGUUUAGAUUGGUCAAAAUCGAAAAAAUGCUAGACCAUAAUCAACUGGACGAAGUGUCAUCGGUUAAUUUUGAAGCUGCUACUCUGAGAAUUUCUAACAAAGAAGACAGUGAGAAAACGCGGGAAGGUUCAAACACCGAGGAAAUAAAAAAGGACUCUAGUGUCCUGAGCGUACCGUACAAAAACAUCGACGUCCAUACUUUUUUCUCCGACCGGGACGAAGUUGUGGAACGUGCGAUCAAAGAGUGCCGGGAAACUUUGGCUACUGAUCAGAAUGACGAAAUAAUUGGAACUUGGCUGUUGACUGAGAUCAGUCUCUGGGACACUGAAAAAGAGCGAGUGGUGCUGUUGACGAAAAACGCAUUGUACACGAUCAAGUAUGACUUUAUAUCACUCAAGUUGCUCGAGUUCAACAGAGUACCGAUGAUUGAGGUGGAUACAAUUGCCUAUGGAGAAUUGGAGUACCCUAAAACUUCAAUUGCUCCGCGAUUGAACGGUCUUGCUGAAGGUGUGUCAUCGGUGAUACAUUGUGCAGUGCGUCAACAAUGGUCAUCUUUGGCUUCGAGUUCUGAAAUUAAAUUUGAACCUAGAAAAAGAAACACAUUUGGUGUAAAAAUAAUGUGGAACAAAGGCAAACCCUUGUCUUUAGACAAAAAAUGGAAUCCUUUUGCCAAACGUAUUCCCUGGGUAACAUAUACAAGUCAUCCUCUCUACUGGCAUAAAAGUACAAGUGAAGAACAGAAGCGGUUUGACGUUGACGAUUUUCACGAUGCUUUGAUGACUCACUUCAAUAUGCAGUGCGAAUUUACCAAGAGUCAAAUAAUUAUUGAAAAUUACCUCGGCUUAGGCGCAAUUCUGCACAAUCGCAACUCUUUGGGAUUUUUCAGAGUGCGUGGGAAAGUCAGUUUCUAAAAAGUUUACCAAAAAUGCACUGAGAUACUCUUCUCUGUUUAAAAACAAUAAUUUCAAGGAAUUCAAAAUAGGUCACCAAAUUCAAUUGUACAUCUAUAUAUUAAUAACUGUUCCUAUUUUAUCUCUGUUUUCACUUAUCAUUGAGAGAAACUGUAUACUGGUAAAAAAGUUAAUUUGAUUCAAGAGAAAAAAUUCUUGAACCAAAAACAACUUCAUUUAAACCAAGAAUAAUUUUUUUUU
rnacentral:misc_RNA from 1 species